rnacentral:rRNA from 1 species
AUGGCGCGGCGCGGGCGUGUGGAGCUGCGGCGGAUCGAGGACCGGACGAGCCGGCAGGUGCGAUUCUCCAAGCGCCGCGCGGGGCUCUUCAAGAAGGCGUUCGAGCUCGUGGUCCUCUGCGACGCCGAGGUCGCGCUGCUCGUCUUCUCCCCCGCCGGGAAGCUCUACGAGUACGCCUCCUCCAGCAUCGAAGGUACAUAUGAUCGCUAUCAGAGAUUUGCAGGAGCUGGAACGAACGUGAAUGGAGGCGAUGCAAGUAGCAACAAUGAUGGUGAUCCUUCAAACAUACAGUCAACGCUUAAAGAGAUCGCUUCCUGGUCUAUUCAAAACAAUGCUGAUGUCUCAGAUGCUAAUAAGCUAGAGAAACUGGAGAAACUCCUGACAGAUGCUUUGAGGAAUACAAAAUCCAAGAAGAUGUUGGUGCAACAAAAUAGCGGCGCAAGCACGAGGGGUGGUGAGAACUCCAACGGUCCUAGGGGACAGAAGAAGCGAGGAAGGACCUGA